rnacentral:rRNA from 1 species
AACGAACGCUGGCGGCAUGCCUAACACAUGCAAGUCGAACGAGACCUUCGGGUCUAGUGGCGCACGGGUGCGUAACGCGUGGGAAUCUGCCCUUGGGUUCGGGAUAACAGUUGGAAACGACUGCUAAUACCGGAUGAUGACUUCGGUCCAAAGAUUUAUCGCCCAGGGAUGAGCCCGCGUCGGAUUAGCUAGUUGGUGAGGUAAGAGCUCACCAAGGCGACGAUCCGUAGCUGGUCUGAGAGGAUGAUCAGCCACACUGGGACUGAGACACGGCCCAGACUCCUACGGGAGGCAGCAGUGGGGGAUAUUGGACAAUGGGCGAAAGCCUGAUCCAGCAAUGCCGCGUGAGUGAUGAAGGCCUUAGGGUUGUAAAGCUCUUUUACCCGGGAUGAUAAUGACAGUACCGGGAGAAUAAGCCCCGGCUAACUCCGUG